UUGUGGUCAAGCUACUAAGGGUGCAUGGUGGAUGUCUUGGCACCAAGAGCCGAUGAAGGGCGUAGCAGGCUGCGAAACGCCCCGGGGAGCUGCCUAGCGAGCGUUGAUCCGGGGGUACCCGAAUGGGAGAUCCCGACGGGAGUAGUGUCCCGUCAUCCGCGACUGAAUGCAUAGGUCGCGGAGGGUAACGGAGCGAACUGAAACAUCUAAGUAGCUCCAGGAAAGGAAAGCAAGUGCGACUUCCCCAGUAGCGGCGAGCGAAAAGGAACAAGCCCAAACCGGGCGUGUGUAAGCUCGUGUGCGUUGCACGUUCGGGGUCGUGGGAGCUUCCACGCGCGGACACGACCGUGCGAUGGAGUUACAAAGGUCAAGACGAGAAGAACGACGCGGACAACGUCGACCAUAGAGGGUGACAGUCCCGUAUUCGUAGGGUUGACCCUCCAGGAAGUUUCCCAAGUAAGGCCGGAGCCGUGGAACCCGGUCUGAAUUCGGGAGGCCCACCUCCUAAGGCUAAGUACUCCUUGGUGACCGAUAGUGCAAAAGUAGCGUGAGUGAAAGAUGAAAAGAACCCCUUUGAGGGGAGUUAACGAACCUGAAACCAUGUACCUACAAGCGGUCGGAGGACUAUGCCGGGGAUCAGAUCCUAGAAACUAGACCGGUAUUGGAGAGCGAAAGCGGUCAAAGACAGCGGAAGAUAUCUCAGUGAGAAUCCCGGCCUGUCUGGCGAGUACUUCUCUGAGAGAUCUAGUUUCUAGUGUCUGGUCUCCGGAAGGUCUGACGGCGUGCCUUUUGCUUAAUGAACCGGCGAGUUGCUGUGUGCUGCAAGGUUAAGCCCUUCAGGGGCGUAGCCCCAGCGAAAGCGAGUGUGAAAUGCGCGACAAGGUAGCACGCAGCAGACCCGAAACCAGGUGAUCUACGCAUGGCCAGGUUGAAACGCUCGUAAAAGGGCGUGGAGGACCGAACCCGUUUACGUUGAAAAGUGAUGGGAUGAGCUGUGCGGAGGAGUAAAAGUCUAAUCAAACCUGGAGACAGCUGGUUCUCCCCGAAAUAGCUUUAGGGCUAGCCUCGUGUUACUCUGUCGUGGGGGUAGAGCCACUGAAUGAAUAGAGGGAGCCUCCAGCUUACCUCGUUCAAUCAAACUCCGAAUACCACGACAACUAUCACGGGAGUCAGACCGUGAGGGACAAGCUUCACGGUCAAGAGGGAAACAGCCCAGACCGCCAGCUAAGGUCCCCAAUAUCCGCUCAGUGGUAAAGGAAGUGAUGACGCGGAGACAGCCAGGAUGUUGGCUUAGAAGCAGCCACCAUUUAAAAAGUGCGUAACAGCUUACUGGUCGAGCGUUGUCGCGCCGAAAAUGAUCGGGGCUAAGCGGAUUACCGAAGCUGCGGGUUCUAGAGACUAGAAACUAGAGACUAGAAACCAGAGAAGGAACAGACGAUGCCUUAUCACAGGCUCAACGUCUACAGGAAGGCCUAUCAGCUUGCACUCGACAUUCACAAGCUGACACUUCGUUUUCCGAGAAUCGAGCAGUACGCUCUUGCUCAGCAACUGAGAGCGUGCUCGAAGUCCAUCCCGGUGAACAUCGCUGAAGGCAUGGGCAAGCAAAGCUCACCCAAAGAGGUGGUGCGUUUUGUGCGCAUCGCGCUUGGGUCUUGUGAUGAGACACGGGUUUGGCUGGAUUUCGCACACGACCUCGGAUACAUCGAGGAACAGGCACACACCCAUCUCGACGAGCGAUAUCGCGAGAUAGGUCGUAUGCUCACCGGACUCGUGAAGAAGUGGAAAGACGAAUCCUGAAGAUGUCCGUUGUGCCUCCUCUUUUGUUUCUUCUCUCCAGUCAGUCCCGACGAAGUCGGGACGAUCUAGUUUCUAGUUUCUAGUCUUUAGAACGGUAGGGGAGCGUUGUAUGUUGGGCGAAGGGAGACGGUGACGACUCCUGGACGACAUACAAGAGCUAAUGCCGGUACGAGUAACGAUAAAACAGGUGAGAAUCCUGUUGGCCGAAAGCCUAAGGUUUCCUGGGGAAGGGAAAUCCGCCCAGGGUUAGUCGGAUCCUUAGUCGAGGCCGAAAGGCGUAGACGAUGGACAACCGGUUAAUAUUCCGGUACCACCUAAGAAACGUUUGUACGAUGGGGUGACGCGGUCGUAACGACCUACGGACGGUUAGAAAUGUCCGGUCAAGUCGGCGAGGGCGUCCCAGGCAAAUCCGGGACAACAAGCCCUCCAAGACGAUGACGAGCCUUUUCUGGCGAAGUGGUCCAAGCGACCGCCGGGAAAACCCUCUAAGGAGUUUCUUCGGUGUCCGUACUAAAACUGACACAGGUAGGCGGGGUGAGAAUCCCAAGGCCCUCGAGUGAGAGCUCGUUAAGGAACUCGGCAAAUUGACCCCGUAACUUCGGGAUAAGGGGUGCCUCGCUCGACUUCACCGUCGGGUGGGGCCGCAGAGAAAUGGCCCAGGCGACUGUUUACCAAAAACACAGGUCUGCGCAAACUCGUAAGAGGAGGUAUGCAGACUGACGCCUGCCCGGUGCCGGAAGGUUAAGGGGAAGGGUCAUCCCCGACUUGUCGGGGAGAAGCUCAUAACCUAAGCCCCGGUAAACGGCGGCCUUAACUAUGAAGGUCCUAUGGUAGCGAAGUUCCUUGUCGGGUAAGUUCCGACCUGCAUGAAUGGCGUAACGACUUGGGCACUGUCUC
rnacentral:rRNA from 1 species